AAAAUUUAAACUGCAUUUUAGUCUAAAAUGACAAAAUCGUAAUAAUAAAUGCAUGCAAUAAUUUAUGUAUUGACAGUAGUUACAGUGAUUCUAAUUCAGUAAUAUUUCUAUUUCAAACAAAACAAGGACCAGAAUAGACUCAAAGAAUGUACCAAAAAGGAAAACAAUAAACACUUUACUUCAUACCAAUGUUCUUAGUGGAAAGUUACUAUUCAUGACUCCAUGUAUUGACAAAAGAUAAAACAAUAAACAAUACACUUUACUACAAUCUUCAUAAAUCAUCAGAUAGUAAGACUGAGAAUGGAAAUGGGGAAUGUGUGAAAGAGACAACAACCAACCAAAGAAAAGAAAACAGAUGAAGGCCACCAAUGGGUCUUCAACACAACGAUAAAAUCCAACAUCCAGCUGACCCCUAAACAAAUAUAUGUACUAGUUCAGUGAUAAUGGAUGUCAUACUAAACCCAGAAAUAUUUAAAAGAAAUAAAACCAGAC
rnacentral:lncRNA from 1 species